GCCCUAGUAACGGCGAGUGAAGCGGCAACAGCUCAAAUUUGAAAUCUGGCUCCUUGGGGCCCGAGUUGUAAUUUGCAGAGGAUGUUUCGGGUGCGGCACCGUUCUAAGUUCCUUGGAACAGGGCGUCAUAGAGGGUGAGAAUCCCGUACGUGACCGGUCGCCAAUCCCAUGUGAAGCUCCUUCGACGAGUCGAGUUGUUUGGGAAUGCAGCUCAAAAUGGGUGGUAAAUUUCAUCUAAAGCUAAAUACUGGCCAGAGACCGAUAGCGCACAAGUAGAGUGAUCGAAAGAUGAAAAGCACUUUGGAAAGAGAGUUAAAAAGUACGUGAAAUUGUUGAAAGGGAAGCGCUUGCAACCAGACUCGCCCGGGGUGAUCAGCCGUCCUUCUGGGCGGUGCACUUUCUCUCGGGCGGGCCAGCAUCGGUUCGGGCGGUUGGAUAAAGGCUCCAGGAAUGUAGCUCCUCUCGGGGAGUGUUAUAGCCUGGGGUGCAAUGCAGCCAGCCUGGACCGAGGACCGCGCUUUUGCUAGGAUGCUGGCGUAAUGGUUGUCAGCGACCCGUCUUGAAACACGGACCAAGGAGUCGACCAACUGCGCGAGUGUUUGGGUAUAAAACCCGCACGCGUAAUGAAAGUGAACGGAGGUGAGAGCCCUCACGGGUGCAUCAUCGACCGAUCCUGAUGUCUUCGGAUGGAUUUGAGUAUGAGCGUAGCUGGUCGGACCCGAAAGAUGGUGAACUAUACGUGAAUAGGGUGAAGCCAGAGGAAACUCUGGUGGAGGCUCGCAGCGGUUCUGACGUGCAAAUCGAUCGUCAAAUUUGCGUAUAGGGGCGAAA
rnacentral:rRNA from 1 species